rnacentral:lncRNA from 1 species
GAUACAACUGAUAUCUACUCAUGACAAUCACAAUAAAAACUAUAUCAAUUUAAGUACAACAUGACAUACGACUAUGCCCAAAAGGAUAGCAGACCCUUCUCUGAGAUUUCUAUGUUGAACCCUUUCAGCAUCCAGUCUCUAUACUUUAUCUAUGAAAAUACAAGCAUCCAAUUGCAUCUAUCACUAUAGAUCUUUAGGAUGCUCGAUUAUGUCUUUCAUGAAAAAAUAUAUAUUCAACCAUAUUUUAACCGAUGUCAGUUUUGGACAUUCUCACUGACCCUUUUGAAACUAAUA